UUAAAAGCUUGAGCAAGUUUGGAGGAGUUAGUAAAGAAGAGAUCCAGCUAUGGAGGAAGAACUCAGCUCUUAAGAGGGACUCCUCUAACACCUUUUUCUUUCUGCCUUUUCCAAAGUGUAUGUGUAUCGGAUCAUGGUAACACAGGAUUCUUCUCUUCUAUACAUUCCCCACUCUCACUCCCACUGUCAGCACUGGCAUCUUGCAAUACAGCACCUUAAUCAGUAGGAGACAUCAUGCUAAGCAGAAGGCCCAUCCAGACAGUUCGGAGUAGGGUCAGCUUGAACUGUGGCAAACAGCUGACCUAGGGAGUGACAUACCCAGCAGAGACAGGGGAAGCAGAUUGACACCACCAGGAGAAGGAAAAAGAUAUGAGGACGAUGCAACACCAGAGAUGGUUUGAUGAGGAGACCCAUCCACGUGGCCAUCUUUGUGGAUCUGAAGGUGGAAGCUGUUCCUGGCUGUGGCCGUGUACAGGGACUUUUAAAGGGCAGCAGUGUGACAUCAAACAGGAAAACCUCUGCUGUCCACAUCCUCUGUGUUGU